AACGAACGCUGGCGGCAUGCCUAACACAUGCAAGUCGAACGAGACCUUCGGGUCUAGUGGCGCACGGGUGCGUAACGCGUGGGAACCUGCCUUUAGGUUCGGAAUAACUCAGAGAAAUUUGAGCUAAUACCGGAUGAUGUCUUCGGACCAAAGAUUUAUCGCCUUUAGAUGGGCCCGCGUUGGAUUAGCUAGUUGGUGGGGUAAAGGCCUACCAAGGCGACGAUCCAUAGCUGGUCUGAGAGGAUGAUCAGCCACACUGGGACUGAGACACGGCCCAGACUCCUACGGGAGGCAGCAGUGGGGAAUAUUGGACGAUGGGCGAAGGCCUGAUCCAGCAGUGCCGCGUGAGUAAUGAAGGCCUUAGGGUUGUAAAGCUCUUUUACCAGAGAUGAUAAUGACAGUAUCGGGAGAAUAAGCUCCGGCUAACUCCGUG
rnacentral:rRNA from 1 species